GGGUAAUGGCUCACUACCUGAAGAAAUACAUCUUCUUUCGCAUGCAUUUGACUUCGAUUUCCGAAAUCUCUGAAUAGAGUUAUUUGGACCCCAGCUUGGUGCUUUUUCAUUAUAAUUAAAAGUCACAAAGGAGCUUCCGAUGAAAAAUACCAAACCGAUGAAAGCAGCUGCAGGGAAAAGAACGCAAAAGCAUGAUCUUUUACUUUUA
rnacentral:misc_RNA from 1 species